GAUGAAGAACGUAGUGAAAUGCGAUAAGUAGUGUGAAUUGCAGAAUUCCGUGAAUCAUCGAAUCUUUGAACGCACAUUGCGCCUCCUGGUAGUCCGGGAGGCAUGCCUGUUCGAGCGUCACCAAAUCCAACUCAAGCGGUUUUGCGCUUGGUCGUGGCGGAAGAGUCGGUCUGGUUGCCGUCUCCCCUCCGAAAAUCAACGGCGGAAAGUCACUGGCAGUCAGCGUAGUAGUAUCGUUCGCCGAACAUCCAGUGGCAUUCCUGCCGACGUACCCCCACAAUUCUCGUGAUUGACCUCGGAUCAGGUAGGGAUACCCGCUGAACUUAAGCAUAUCAAUAAGCGGAGGA
rnacentral:misc_RNA from 1 species